rnacentral:rRNA from 1 species
GUGUCAGCAGCCGCGGUAACACGUAGGAGGCAAACGUUACCCGGAUUCACUGGGCGUAAAGCGUGUGUAGGUGGUUUCGUAAGUAGGGCGUGAAAGCUCCCGGCUCAACUGGGAGAGGCCGUACUAAACUGCGGAGCUAGAGGAUGGUAGAGGGAGGUGGAAUUCCAGGUGUAGUGGUGAAAUGCGCAGAUAUCUGGAGGAACACCAGUGGCGAAGGCGGCCUCCUGGACCAUUCCUGACACUCAGACGCGAAAGCUAGGGUAGCAAACGGGAUUAGAGACCCCGGUAGUCCUAGCCCUAAACGAUGUAGACUAGGCGUCGGUGGUUUAAUCACCAUCGGUGUCCAAGCAAGCGCGAUAAGUCUACCGCCUGGGGACUACGGCCGCAAGGUUAAAACUCAAAUGAAUUGACGG